GGGGGAGUAUAAUCAUAAGGCUAAAACUUAAAAAAAUUAACGGAAAGGCACUACUAAGGGUAAACCUAAUCUAUAAAGCUAUAGUUAAUUCUACUCUAAAAAGCCGCCUAAAAGGGUUAAUAGUAUUCCUAAGGGAGAGCUUCUCUCCCCUAAACUAAUAGCUAAUCCUACUGCCUAUAGUAGGGCGAUACCCUUAAAUUAAUAGGGAACUCCUAAAGCUUUCGCUUUAAAUAGGUAUUAAAAAAUUAAUGCCUAUUUAUUAGGCUAAUAACCUUAGGUAUCAGAAGUAAUAUAAGAGGAUACUAUAAUAAAUAAUCUGCAGCUAAGCCCCUAUAGUAUAGCCUCUAUAGGGGUCGCAUAUAGGGAAGGUUUAAAGACUUAACGGGGAUAAGUAGUAUAGGCUCUUACGGUAUAAGCUAUAUACUUAUAGGCUAGGCGCCUACCGCUACCUAAGAUAAAGUCCGGGCGCAUAUAAAAGUAUAUAUAGCAACUAUAUAACCCGCCCCUUCUAGUAGGGUAUAAGGCCCUAGAAGUAAAAAUAACCGGGAGCCUAUAGCUUAAUUUAACUUAAUAUAAGGAAACUUACUAGGUUUAGAUAUAAUAAGGAUUAAUAGAUUAAAAGCUCUUUUUUAAUUUUAUAAAUAGUAGUAUAUAGCUAUUCUUAGUUAGUAGAGUAAUUUAUCUACUUAAUUAUAAUAACGAACGAGACUUUAACCUAUUAAAUAGCUUAUAUUGCUUUAAUAGUAUGCUAGCUUCUUAGAGGGACUAUUAGCUUAAGCUAAUAGAAGUUUAAAGUAAUAAUAAGUCUAUAAUGCCCUUAGAUAUUUUAGGCUAUAUAUAUACUAUACUAAUAGAGCUAGUAAAUACUCUUUUAGCUAAAAGGCCUAAAUAAUCUUAUUAAACUCUAUUGUACUAAAGAUAGAGCAUUAUAAUUAUUACUUUUUAACGAGGAAUCCCUAAUAAGCGUAAAUCAUUAGCUUAUAUUAAUUAUAUCCCUACCUUUUAUAUAUACUGCCUAUCGCUACUACCGAUUGAAUAGCUUAAUAAGGCAUCUAGACUAGCCUAAAGAGGUAGGUAACUACUACUUAGGGCUAGAAAGCUCUCUAAACUUAAUUAUUUAGAGGAAGUAAAAGUCGUAAUAAGGUCUCUAUUAGUAAACCAAUAGAGG
rnacentral:ncRNA from 1 species